UGAGGCCACCUUCCAACAGCCAGCAAGGAACUGCCACUUUCUGACAACAGCCAUGUGAGUCAUCGUGGAAGCUGAUCUUCCUGCUCCAGUCAAGCCUUUCAGAUGACUGCAGCACUGGCUAAUAUAUUGACUACAACUUCAUAAGAGACCCUGAGCCAGAACUCAAAGUUCUGACCCACGAAAACUAUGAGAUCUUGUUUGGAAUUCUGACUCAAACCAACUGGUAAGGAAGAA
rnacentral:lncRNA from 1 species